rnacentral:rRNA from 1 species
UACAGAGGUCUCAAGCGUUGUUCGGAUUCAUUGGGCGUAAAGGGUGUGUAGGUGGCGCCGUAAGUCGGGUGUGAAAUCUCGGGGCUUAACUCCGAAACUGCAUUCGAUACUGCGGUGCUUGAGGACUGGAGAGGAGACUGGAAUUCAUGGUGUAGCGGUGAAAUGCGUAGAUAUCGUAAGGAAGACCAGUGGCGAAGGCGGGUCUCUGGACAGUUCCUGACGCUGAGGCGCGAAGGCCAGGGGAGCAAACGGG